rnacentral:rRNA from 1 species
CCCUUAGAUGUCCUGGGCUGCACGCGCGCUACACUGAUGUGUCCAGUAAGCACCUAACCUAUUCCGAGAGGAGCGGGUAACCUUAGCAAAGCACAUCGUGAUGGGGAUAGAUUAUUGCAAUUAUUAGUCUUGAACGAGGAAUUCCUAGUAAGCACAAGUCAUCAGCUUGUGUUGAUUACGUCCCUGCCCUUUGUACACACCGCCCGUCGCUCCUACCGAUUGAAUGUUCCGGUGAGCUCUUCGGACUGCGCGGUCUGCAGUUUCUGCGUUCCGUGCGGAAAGUUGUGCAAACCUUAACAUUUAGAGGAAAGAGAAGUCGUAACA